AAAGAAGGAGGAGAAGAAGGAGGAGGAGAAGGAGGAAAAACACUCACAGACUUUGAAGUCAGCCCCAUGUAGGAACAGACUCUGAUUCUGGAUGUGGAUUCCAGAGCCUCUUCCUCACAACUGCUGUGGAGUAAAUGUCAAGUCCGCUACCCAAGGACUCCUGUGACUCAGUGACCUUCUGACAAGCUCUCCGGGUACCCAGAUUCCAGGAAAACAAUGCUAGAUUUCACACCAGAUGCUGCUCAGACCCGUCUCUUUCCUCCUUUUACACCUGGGCAUCAGAGACCGCUGAAUGACAAGCAGUGCUAUGGAUCAUCAACCUACCCUUCCCCUGAGACUUGUAUAAGUGCCC